rnacentral:lncRNA from 1 species
GCUACGUGCCUCAUUAGAUUUAUUGAGUUAUAUCUUCUUUGAUCUACUUGAAGCUUUGUGUGUAUCAUUGAACAUAAUUAUAUUGUCUAAUUGUUGUUGGUUGAUUGAUCGGUUGUUUUUCUUUGGUUCUUGAUAAAAAUUUUAAGAAGAUCGUUUGAAAGCAUAGAGCGCAACCAGACAAUGUCCAUUCCUUUCAAUCGUGCGACAUCGGGCAUUUCCGUAUUCUCCGCGUCUAUUGCGUAGCGUAAAGGCCGAGGUGAUCAGAUUGCAUUCCUUUAUGUUGCCUUAAUGUUCUUCGUACUCUGUAUUCGCGUUCUAUCCUCGCUGUAUAACAUUCUUGUGUAAUAUAUUCAUUGCAGUUCACAGAAAAAGGACCUACAUGUACUUUUGAAUAACACACUAUACAAAAUGUGAGCAAUCAUCAAAGAUACACGGUGGCGAUACCCUGGGUAUGCAGGGGUGCAAAAUGGCGGCGGAAUCUCUCGAUUCAGGUACAGCAUAGAAAUAAAGAUGAAGAGUAAGCGCUCAUCAAACCUAACUUUGAAUGCCAACAUCCGGCGUCGUAAACGUACAGCUAAAAUAAAUAUGAAAUACCAACUUCAGAUGACUGAAAUGUAUACUGUUAUAAAACCGCGCACAAAGCUGUUCAACACGCCAGUAUCUUCACAACGAAAGCGCCAAGGUUCAAGAUCCCCGUAUAAUACAUUAAAAAGCUCGUGUAAGUCGAGUCCCUUUAAACGGACUCCGACAAAACAACCAAGUGCAAAGAAAAUGCGCAAAUCAUUAUUAAGUGACUUUGACGUUGCUGAAGAUUCUUUUGAGAAAAAAUGUAAAUACUAAAUACUACUACGGUCAAGUACUAAUUUAGAACAAGUUAUGUCCAAAUUUAAUAUAAUAGAUCCAGGCCCCUUAUGACACCUAUAGCUUUAUAUCUAGGUGUCGUAUGAAAACUCCAAAGGCCAUAGCAGUAUCGUGAUCAAGUUUCAAGUUUCUAGUGCCAACGAUGUAUGAGAAGAAACAUGCAAGGACGAACGGACGGACAUCAUCACAAUAUAUAUUGACAUAUAAUAUGCCUUUAACAGUUAAAAGUAGUUUCACUGGCUUAAUUUGUUCGUAUUACUGUGUGUCUCUAGCAGCCAGUUAAGUCACCCCCACAUGUCAAAAGCACCCCCACAUAACAUAAUGAAAACACCUCCCCCACUUAGUAUUUCCUUUCAAUCGCCCGGAAUUGCCGAAAACUGGCGAUUUCACUU